CACACACACACACACAUAAA
rnacentral:miRNA from 1 species